GGAUGCUGGGAUUUUCAGCUCUUUGAAGGGAGAGAGAUUUUUGGGGGAUCAAACAACUAUUUCAAUACACAGCCGAGAUUCUGAGAUCAGAUUUAGGUCCGCUUUAAUUCAAAAACAUAGCAACAAAAAUAAGAUCAGCUUGCCUCCGUGACUUGUUUGAUCGUUCCUGUGAAAGAGUCGUUCUGUGGUUGUGUGGUUCAUGCAGCUCUGAGGCGGUGACAGUCUGCACUUCAGCUUUUACACUUUUUUCAAUGUGAGUAUCUGAAAGCAGAGAACUUCCAGGAGGUCUCAGGAGUUCCAGAUUCUCGUCUCGGAGGAGUGAUUCUUCAUUUCAUCAUCUCCACUGUAACAUCCGUCUCCAGCCCGCUCAGCUCCGGAUCUGAUCCGAUCCCAGCGUGAAGGUUCCAUCUGCACAGGCCGGCGGUCCAUCGCAGGACAUGCAAACUCCACACGGACAGAGUCCACGAGGCCUCCUGUCUUCUUUAACACACCCGUGUGUUUCCAGGGAGGGUGUGGAGCAGGUGAGGCUCCGUUUGUCGCCCGUGAGAACCUUCCUGACUGAGUCGAGCGUUAAAGAAAUACCUGGAAACUUUGUGAAAACGGGAAGGCUCCGGAGCCCCUCAGAAAUGAAGACGUACAAUCGAUUUGCUCCAGGAGGGGAGAAUGUUGAAUCUGCACUUAUUUGCCUUUUUUCCGGGUUCUAUUAGAGGAUAUUUAGACUUUAUCAGAACAUUCUGUGAACAUUUGGAGCUGUGUAAACUGUUCUGAUGGUAUCUCUCUGCUGCAGCCCUCUCAUGAAUCUGAAGGAGCCUCGCACUGUGGAGAGCCUUCUCGGGCCUGUCGGUGCUGCUUUUCUCUGAUAUCGGCGGAAAGCCUCCCGGAGGGUCCCGGACCCCGACUCCACGCUGCUCACACACGUUUUGGGCGGUUAAACUGAACGGCGGAGAGGCUCGCUCAUUAUCUCGUGGGCAGGGCUGCAGUGUAAACACCCUGUUUACAGCCGCCAAACGCCCUCUUUCACCCGGACAUGCCCGCU